GCCCUGUUGGUCCCUAGAACAUAUCAGCCCUGUUGGACAUAUCAGCCCUGUUGGUCCCUAGAACAUAUCAGCCCUGUUGGACAUAUCAGCCCUGUUGGACAUAUCAGCCCUGUUGGUCCCUAGAACAUAUCAGCCCUGUUGAACAUAUCAGCCCUGUUGGUCCCAAGAACAUAUCAGCCCUGUUGGUCCCUAGAACAUAUCAGCCCUGUUGGACAUAUCAGCCCUGUUGGUCCCUAGAACAUAUCAGCCCUGUUGGACAUAUCAGCCCUGUUGAACAUAUCAGCCCUGUUGGUCCCUAGAACAUAUCAGCCCUGUUGGACAUAUCAGCCCUGUUGGUCCCAAGAACAUAUCAGCCCUGUUGGUCCCUAGAACAUAUCAGCCCUGUUGGUCCCUAGAACAUAUCAGCCCUGUUGGUCCCUAGAACAUAUCAGCCCUGUUGGACAUAUCAGCCCUGUUGGACAUAUCAGCCCUGUUGGUCCCUAGAACAUAUCAGCCCUGUUGAACAUAUCAGCCCUGUUGGACAUAUCAGCCCUGUUGGACAUAUCAGCCCUGUUGGUCCCUAGAACAUAUCAGCCCUGUUGGACAUAUCAGCCCUGUUGGACAUAUCAGCCCUGUUGGACAUAUCAGCCCUGUUGAACAUAUCAGCCCUGUUGGUCCCUAGAACAUAUCAGCCCUGUUGGUCCCUAGAACAUAUCAGCCCUGUUGGACAUAUCAGCCCUGUUGGUCCCUAGAACAUAUCAGCCCUGUUGGACAUAUCAGCCCUGUUGGUCCCUAGAACAUAUCAGCCCUGUUGGUCCCUAGAACAUAUCAGCCCUGUUGGUCCCUAGAACAUAUCAGCCCUGUUGAACAUAUCAGCCCUGUUGGUCCCUAGAACACAUCAGCCCUGUUGGACAUAUCAGCCCUG